rnacentral:rRNA from 1 species
UAGGGAAUAUUGGGCAAUGGAGGCAACUCUGACCCAGCCAUGCCGCGUGUAGGAAGAAGGCGUUCUGCGUUGUAAACUACUUUUAUCGGGGAAGAAACGUCAUCUUGCGAGGUGAUUUGACGGUACUCGAGGAAUAAGCACCGGCUAACUCCGUGCCAGCAGCCGCGGUAAUACGGAGGGUGCAAGCGUUGUCCGGAUUUAUUGGGUUUAAAGGGUGCGUAGGUGGUUUGAUAAGUCUGACCUGAAAGUGGGCCGCUUAACGGCACAGGGUGGUUGGAUACUGUCGAACUUGAAUUAGGCGGAGGUUGCCGGAACGGAUGGUGUAGCGGUGAAAUGCAUAGAGAUCAUCCAGAACGCCAAUUGCGUAGGCAGGUGGCUACGCCUAUAUUGACACUGAGGCACGAAAGCAUGGGGAGCAAACAGG